UCAAAAAGCAAACAUUUAUGGUAAUUUAGCUAGCUGUUGCUAAUAACAACCCAAUGUUUAUAUCCUAGGACAAAUKAGCUUGCUAGAGUUUGCGCUGGGAUAUAAACAUUGGGUUGUUAUUUUACCUGAAAUGCACAAGGUCCUCUACUCCGACAUGUAAUCCACAACAAUUAAUCUGCAGAUAAAAGGGUAACUUAAGCAAAGUUUGUUUCUAGUAAUCUCUCGUCCUUCAAGCUGCUUCGUCGGACUUUAUAUUGUGGUUGGCAACCAACUUUAAGGUGCAUUACCACCACCAACUGGACUGAAGUGUGGACCUCAAUUCAUCUUUAAAAUCACCCACGUGGGUAUAUGCGCCUAAAAACCAAUGAGGAGAUGGGAGAGGCAGCACGUCAAGCUUUACAAAUAAAACCAAUAUCUAUUUUAGUGCAAGCACUCGUUGACAUGCGCAAGCAGUGGGUGAAAUGAUUGAAUAACAUGUAUGUGUAUGCGACGUGGGCAGCAUGUCAGUCUGUUGAAAGUCCUCCAAUUAUCCAAAUGGCUGGCUGUGUUUUGCAACCACAAUGAACUUUGGGAAGAUUGCCCAUUAUUUUGUUUUUCAAGGACCCAGAAAACAGAGGCGUUGUAGAACAUAUUCAAAUAGAGCUGUCAAACCCUUGUCUGCAGAUGAAGAGGUCCCAAGAGAAUAAGGGUACAUCCUUGUAUACCAUGGAUUAUAUGUUAGCAAAUUUUGUCAACAAUAAUAGUUUAAAAGCCACACAAUGUAUAAACCUAUUACAACUGGAGCAGGCCAACCCUGCUGGGUGUGCAGGCUUCUGUUCCAGCCCAGCACUAAUGCACCUUAUUCAAUGUAUCAAACCUAAUUAGUUAAUCAAGUGAGCUACUGCUGGACUGGAGCAGACCUCUGCAAACCCAGUAGACAGGGAUCGGUGGAGCGAGGUUGGUAUUGACAUUUCCACCCCCACAAUUGUUUUAGUAAUAAUAGCCUACUUGUUGCUAAAAUGUCUAUACGUUUACAUAUGAAUUAGCUUACUUGAACACUUAUAAAUUAUAGGAAAGUGUUGAUUCUUUGAAGUGAAGUGUUUACACUUGUUUUAAUUGUUAAGUUAACUAUUAUUCAGGAUGAACUAGCGCCAAUGUUGAUUUAAUCACAGAUCACAAUCCAGCAAUAAAGAGGGGAAGGGAA